rnacentral:rRNA from 1 species
CAGUCGCCGCGGGAAUACAGAGGGUGCGAGCGUUAAUCGGAUUUACUGGGCGUAAAGCGUGCGUAGGCGGCUUCUUAAGUCGGAUGUGAAAUCCCUGAGCUUAACUUAGGAAUUGCAUUCGAUACUGGGAAGCUAGAGUAUGGAGAGGAUGGUAGAAUUCCAGGUGUAGCGGUGAAAUGCGUAGAGAUCUGGAGGAAUACCGAUGGCGAAGGCAGCCAUCUGGCCUAAUACUGACGCUGAGGUACGAAAGCAUGGGGAGCAAACAGGAUUAGAUACCCGAGUAGUCCCUGUCUCUUAUACA